UUGCCCUGUGGUGUAAUUGGCAACACACCUCUUUUUGACAGAGGCGUUCUGGGUUCAAGGCCUAGCGGGGCAGA
rnacentral:tRNA from 2 species